rnacentral:rRNA from 1 species
CGCGUAAGUACCUGCCCUUGGGAUGGGGAUACCAGCUGGAAACGGUUGUUAAUCCCCUCUAUGCUGAGGAGUGAAAGAAAUUCGCCUAAGGAGGGGCUUGCGUCUGAUUAGCUAGUUGAUAAGGUAACGGCUUACCAAGGCGAUGAUCAGUAGCUGGUUUGAGAGGAUGAUCAGCCACACUGGGACUGAGACACGGCCCAGACUCCUACGGGAGGCAGCAGUGGGGAAUUUUCCGCAAUGGGCGAAAGCCUGACGGAGCAAUGCCGCGUGGAGGACGAAGGCCUAUGGGUUGUAAUCUCC